UAACACAUGCAAGUCGAACGAUGAAGCGGUGCUUGCACCGUGGAUUAGUGGCGAACGGGUGAGUAAUACGUGAGUGACCUACCUUUGACUCUGGGAUAAGCCUGGGAAACUGGGUCUAAUACCGGAUACGACCAAUCUCUGCAUGGGGUGUUGGUGGAAAGCGUUAUGGAGUGGUUUUAGAUGGGCUCACGGCCUAUCAGCUUGUUGGUGAGGUAAUGGCUUACCAAGGCGACGACGGGUAGCCGGCCUGAGAGGGUGACCGGCCACACUGGGACUGAGACACGGCCCAGACUCCUACGGGAGGCAGCAGUGGGGAAUAUUGCACAAUGGGCGCAAGCCUGAUGCAGCGACGCCGCGUGAGGGAUGACGGCCUUCGGGUUGUAAACCUCUGUUAGCAUCGAAGAAGCGAAAGUGACGGUAGGUGCAGAGAAAGCGCCGGCUAACUACGUGCCAGCAGCCGCGGUAAUACGUAGGGCGCGAGCGUUGUCCGGAAUUAUUGGGCGUAAAGAGCUUGUAGGCGGUUGGUCGCGUCUGCUGUGAAAGGCCGGGGCUUAACUCCGGUUUUGCAGUGGGUACGGGCUAACUAGAGUGCAGUAGGGGAGACUGGAAUUCCUGGUGUAGCGGUGGAAUGCACAGAUAUCAGGAGGAACACCGAUGGCGAAGGCAGGUCUCUGGGCUGUAACUGACGCUGAGAAGCGAAAGCAUGGGGAGCGAACAGGAUUAGAUACCCUGGUAGUCCAUGCCGUAAACGU
rnacentral:rRNA from 1 species